AGAUCGGUACCUAGCUGAACAACAGGCUGUCUGGUCAGCUGGGCCCAGACGCCCAGUGACACUUCCUGGCCCAUGACCUUUGGGCAAAUCCUCAACUAGUCUUACCCGCAGGGUGGAGCCACACUGAACCUGGGGCUCCAUACUUUCUUGGCCAGGGGCCAAGAUUACCUCGUCAAUAAGGUAGAGGUCUUAUACUCACAAGUUCAAGCCCAGUGAGCGAUGUUCACCAAAUCAAACUCUGCAUCUCAAUAGAAACCCGGAUAUCAAAGCGUUGAGCUUGUUCUUGAAGCAUUUGCACCAGCAACAGUCAUCAUAUCGAGUUACUGGCAUCUCUUUGGUGUGGAAUCCUCCGUCUAUGAACAUCAUAACAGCACAUGAACCUCUGGCAGUCAUCAUCUCAAGAUUCUGGUAUAUCCAUGGUGCAGGACCCUCGGUCUGUAAAGAUCAUGCAGAGCGAACCUCAGAUGCCAUUUGACGAAAUCAAACCAUCCAAUCAGAAACACAGCUUGUUGCAGAAGUUGUUACCAUAUUGACCCCAGUUAAACAUAAGAAGUCCA